AGACAGAGGAAAAAGGAGUUUUUCUCCAGCAGGUGGAAGCUGAACACGGGCCUUGAAUUCCUUCUGUGUCAGGGGACUGUCAGCUCAGACGUAGCACCCUACAGAAGCCCCUGCCUCAUCCCACUCGUCCCAGGAGCUGGAGGAUUUGGCUCUUGUGAGGGAAAAAGCAAGCCAAAGAAUUUCUUACCAACUCUCUUCAAGCAAGAAUUUUGCUUCUGUGAACGCUUCUGUGUUCCCCCAAUGCCGAGUCCUGUAGCCCUGCCCACGAGAAUGAGGUUCUCAUCCGAGAACCACGGGCAGCUUCUGGGUUCUAGAGACUCAAGUCACCCACGAUGCAUUUUUGCGGAGAUGGAAAAAUAACCAGGUCGUCCCAGAUCAGCAGGAACAUCGCCGCGAGACAAUUUAAAAGACGCUCACUCCUCCCUGACAGCAGCAGCAGCAGCUGCAUUCAGCACAGACCAGCCCAAGCAAGACCAUCAACAGAUGAAGCAGUCAUGGAGU